rnacentral:lncRNA from 1 species
UAUUUGAGGGGGAGGACAGGGGGUACCCUUCUCCCUUCUCCCACCCCUCUACUCCUUUCUCCUACCCCCGUUCUCCUUUCUCCCAUUAGAAUAAAACAUCUCCUUUUGAGAUAUUUUUUUCUUGAAAUAUUAGAUUAUUUUUUAAAAGGAGAGAUAUUUUAUUUUUUCUCCUUUCUCCAACUUUUUCUCCUUUCUCCCAGCCUUC